rnacentral:rRNA from 1 species
UAACGGGGCGGUCCUCUAUGAGGCCCGUCAUUGUAUUGAGUAAAACUCAGAAUAUUUAACGAAACCAAUUGGAGGGCAAGUCUGGUGCCAGCAGCCGCGGUAAUUCCAGCUCCAAAAGCAUAUAUUAAAGUUGUUGCGGUUAAAAAGCUCGUAGUUGGAUCCAUGACCUCGGAGGGCGGUCCCCCACUGGGUGCGUACUGCUGCUCCGAGUCCUAUCUGUCAGUUUGUCUGUGUUGCCUUUAAUCGGGUGGCACAGGUGACUGACGUGUUUACUUUGAAAAAAUUAGAGUGUUUAAAGCAGGCGUUGAAUGCCUGAAUAGUGGUGCAUGGAAUAAUGGAAUAGGAUCUCGGUUCUAUUUUGUUGGUUCAAGAGCAUGAGAAAUGAUUAAGAGGGACAGACGGGGGCAUUUGUAUUGCUGCGUUAGAGGUGAAAUUCUUGGAUCGUAGCAAGACAAACUACUGCGAAGGCAUUUGCCAAGAAUGUUUUCAUUAAUCAAGAACGAAAGUUAGAGGUUCGAAGGCGAUCAGAUACCGCCCUAGUUCUAACCGUAAACCAUGUCGACUAGCUAUCUGUCAGCGUUAAUAAUGACCUGACAGGCAGCUUACCGGAAACGAAAGUUUCUCGAUUCCGGGGGUAGUAUGGUUGCAAAGCUGAAACUUAAAGGAAUUGACGGAAGGGCACCACCAGGAGUGGAGCCUGCGGCUUAAUUUGACCCAACACGGGAAAACUCACCCGGCCCGGACACCGUAAGGAUUGACAGAUUAAUAGCUCUUUCUCGAUUUGGUGAUUGGUGGUGCAUGGCCGUUCUUAGUUGGUGGAGCGAUUUGUCUGGUUAAUUCCGAUAACGAACGAGAUUCUAACUUACUAACUAGUUCCACGAUCCUUGUGGUCCUAAAUACUUCUUAGAGGGAAAACCGGCAUUUAGUCGAACGAGAUUGAGCAAUAACAGGUCUGUGAUGCCCUUAGAUGUCCGGGGCUGCACGCGUGCUACACUGAAGGAAUCAGCGUGUUUUUCCCUUCCUGUAAUGGCUGGGUAACCGACUGAAUCUCCUUCGUGCUAGGGAUAGAUCAUUGAAACUAGUGAUCUUCAACUUGGAAUUCCUGGUACGUUUGAGUCAUAAGCUCAAGCAGAUUACGUCCCUGCCCUUUGUACACACCGCCCGUCGCUACUACCGACUGGCAAUAUCUUUGAGACACUUGGAGCGGCCGUGAGCUACCCUAACCGGUAACUCACGGCUGCGAAAAGGUU